UGUGAAAGCAGACUUGACUAAUGGAGAGCCUGAAAAAAAAGAAAAUGGAGAUGACAAACCACAGGAUGAUUCCACUUCUGCAGUACUUGAAGAAGAAACUGAAGGAGGCAAAGAAAUUGUUAAAGAAAUCUUGGAGGAUGUGGUCACUUCAGCGGUUAGAGCCUCUUUAGACGAAGAACUUCUGAAGCAAAGUCUGCCUGAAUCAAGUAGGAUUUUGUCUGAGCUGGGAACUGCAGUUCUUGCUUCUCCAGGUGGCAGUCAUGAAAAUCAGCAAGCAAAUGGAAUUUCAGAUGAUAGACAGUCUGUCUCCUCCACAGAUAAUCUGGUAGGGGUUUUCAUCAUAUAAUUUGAAUGUAAAACUAACUUUUGGGAGAAGGAGGAUGGUUUGUAGAUAGGAAUCUGAAGCUAGGGUUGGAGAAAGCUCUAAAAUAUUUGAAAGGGCAAACAAAUGGUCAAAACCUAUGCAUUUCAUUACCAAUGUAUCUGCUUAGGUUGGUAUUUACUACUAUGAUAAAACAGAUGCUGCCGUGUUUUGUUGAAGCAUGAAUUUGGAGCAAAUUAUAACAAAAUGUACACGUUAUUUUGAAACAUUAGCCUAACAAUCUGUUAUGCGGUUAAAUUGUACUUUAUAUCAAAGCUUUUAAAAUUCCACCUUAAUUACUUUUAUAAGCAACUCAAGGUGGCACAUAUGCCUAAUACUCUUUCCUCCUCCUGUUUUUCCACAACAACUCUGGGUUGGGCUGUGAGUGAGUGACUGGCUCAAAGUCAUCCACUGGUUUUCAUGCAUAAGGCCGGACUAGAACUGACAGGCUUUGUCUGGUUUUGCUCCAUCUAAUUAUCUGUAGCUAUGAUUUAUUAACAUAUCCAAAAAAAUUAGUUGUACUUUGUUUUACUAAGAUAGCAUUGCAUAAGAUUUCCUAUAUUCUUAUGCUCUGAUGAUUUAGUUACUGUAAUGAUAAAUAUAAUAAAUAUUGCUGUGUCAUAGGUAAGCAUACAUGAAUGUGCUGAUUUUUUAUAAUGCAUUUUUAACCCACCACAACUGGUUAGAUAUAAUACAUAUUUUAAUUCAAGCACUUGGAUCUUAACCUUAAAACUUUCACACUUUUAAUAGAAAAUUAUAAUAGAAAAUCCUAACAAAACAAUUAAAAAUACAAUUAAAAUGUUUAACAGGAGUUCAAAUGAUAUAAAUAUAUGUACUGUAGUUGGCAUUAAGAAAAGUUUUGAGAACUGACAGAAAAAUUAUCAACAUCUUUUUGAGCUUACACAUUAAUUUCUUAAAUGAAUGAAAUAAAGUAAAUGAAUGUUAGAUUCAACAGUAGUAAUAUCUUUUAUAUCAUCUUUAUUUAGGAUCUGACUAAAAUAGAUUGUAGGCUCAAAUGAUUCACAUUCAAAUUUAAUCAAUACCU